rnacentral:ncRNA from 2 species
AACCACACAAGGGGGAGCCAUCUGGCUGAGAACGAGUAAUCGGACCCUUCGAACCUGUUCGUUAAUGCGAGCGUAGGAAUUGUGCGUGGUAUUGAA